GACUACGGCCAUAACACCCUGAGCACACCUAAUCUGGUCUGAUCUCAGAAGCUAAGCAGGGUCGGGCCUGGUUAGUACUUGGAUGGGAGAAAGCAAAUCUUGAUCU
rnacentral:rRNA from 1 species